rnacentral:rRNA from 1 species
GAUGAACGCUGGCGGCGUGCCUAAUACAUGCAAGUCGAGCGAACGGACGAGAAGCUUGCUUUUCUGAUGUUAGCGGCGGACGGGUGAGUAACACGUGGAUAACCUACCUAUAAGACUGGGAUAACUUCGGGAAACCGGAGCUAAUACCGGAUAAUAUUUUGAACCGCAUGGUUCAAAAGUGAAAGACGGUCUUGCUGUCACUUAUAGAUGGAUCCGCGCUGCAUUAGCUAGUUGGUAAGGUAACGGCUUACCAAGGCAACGAUGCAUAGCCGACCUGAGAGGGUGAUCGGCCACGCUGGAACUGAGACACGGUCCAGACUCCUACGGGAGGCAGCAGUAGGGAAUCUUCCGAAAUGGGCGAAAGCCUGACGGAGCAACGCCGCGUGAGUGAUGAAGGUCUUCGGAUCGUAAAACUCUGUUAUUAGGGAAGAACAUAUGUGUAAGUAAAUGUGCACAUCUUGACGGUACCUAAUCAGAAAGCCACGGCUAACUACGUG